AUACUUACCUGGCAGGGGAGAUACCAUGAUCACGAAGGUGGUUUUCCCAGGGCGAGGCUUAUCCAUUGCACUCCAGAUGUGCUGACCCCUGCGAUUUCCCCAAAUGUGGGAAAUUCGACUGCAUAAUUUGUGGUAAUGGGGGACUGCGUUCGCGCUCUCCCCUA
rnacentral:snRNA from 1 species